rnacentral:tRNA from 1 species
UCCCUGGAGGACUAGUGGUUAGGCCAUGGUGCUAUCAUCGCCACGGCCUGGGUUCGAGUCCCAGCCAGGGAA